rnacentral:RNase_P_RNA from 1 species
ACCCGAGGGAUAGCGCCACAGAAAGCAAACCUCCGGCCUUGCGAGGCCGGUAAGGGUGAAAGGGUGGGGUAAGAGCCCACCGCGUGCCUGGCAACAGGGACGGCAUGGCAAGCCCCGCCUGGAGCAAGACCAAAUAGGGACAUCGCGCGGGGUUCGCUUCGCGGGGCUCACCGCCUCAGAUGUCCGGGUAGGUCGCGAGAACCGUUCAGCAAUGGACGGUCCAGAGGAAUGAUCGUCGCCGAUCCAGGCUUCGGCCUCGGAGCGGAACAAAACCCGGCUUACAGGCCGUCUGGCAUA